AUAGAUACCCGGGUAGUCCACCCCGUAAACGUUGGGAACUAGUUGUGGGGUCCUUUCCACGGAUUCCGGUGACGCAGCUAACGCAUUAAGUUCCCCGCCUGGGGAGUACGGCCGCAAGGCUAAAACUCAAAGGAAUUGACGGGGACCCGCACAAGCGGCGGAGCAUGCGGAUUAAUUCGAUGCAACGCGAAGAACCUUACCAAGGCUUGACAUACACCAGAACACCCUAGAAAUAGGGGACUCUUUGGACACUGGUGAACAGGUGGUGCAUGGUUGUCGUCAGCUCGUGUCGUGAGAUGUUGGGUUAAGUCCCGCAACGAGCGCAACCCUCGUUCUAUGUUGCCAGCACGUAAUGGUGGGAACUCAUGGGAUACUGCCGGGGUCGACUCGGAGGAAGGUGGGGAUGGACGUCAAAUCAUCAUGCCCCUUAUGUCUUGGGCUUCACGCAUGCUACAAUGGCCGGUACAAAGGGCUGCAAUACCGUGAGGUGGAGCGAAUCCCAAAAGCCGGUCCCAGUUCGGAUUGAGGUCUGCAACUCGACCUCAUG
rnacentral:rRNA from 1 species